CCCUUAGAUGUCCUGGGCCGCACGCGCGUUACACUGAUGCAUUCAACGAGCUUAUAACCUUGGCCGAGAGGCCUGGGCAAUCUUGUUAACGUGCAUCGUGAUAGGGAUAGAUUAUUGAAAUUAUUAAUCUUGAACGAGGAAUUCCUAGUAAACGCAGAUCAUCAAUCUGCAUUGAUUACGUCCCUGCCCUUUGUACACACCGCCCGUCGCACCUACCGAUUAGAUGGUCCGGUGAAGCCUCGGGAUUGUGGUUCUUGCCGCUUUAUUGUGGCGUGACCGCGAGAACUUGUCUAAACCUUAUCAUCUAGAGGAAGGUGAAGUCGUAACA
rnacentral:rRNA from 1 species